AAAAUUUGUUCUUAAGCCCAAGGUCCAACUGGAAAAUCUUGGUUUCAUAGCAUAUUUGUUUCAUAUUGAGUAUUACAUUUCUAAAAAAGGAGAAAACAUCACAUUACAUUUCGCUUCAAGUGCUGUCACAAUAUAUAUAUAUAUAGCACUCAACGUCUGGGAGGACCACGAUUGUCAUAGGAACCCCAACCACCGCCACUGUAUGGAUCACCAUACGCUCCACCGGGAUAUCUCAUCUCAGGGCUUCCAUUCAUCAUGCCAUAGGCUCCUACACCAAGGCCCCGUCCAACUUUAUCUGCUCGCAGCUUUUCAAUUUCACGAGCCAUUGAAAUGAGAUUCUUCUCCAUAGAUUGAUUUUGUUCCACCAGUUCUGUAUUUGCUUGCUUCUCAUAUUCAAAUUGCCUCCUUGCUUCUGCCAAUUCUUUCUGCAAUUUAUCAAUAUCAGUCUUCAUAGCUGAUA
rnacentral:misc_RNA from 1 species